CGAGCGCACCCUUGUCCUCAGUUACCAGCACGUUAUGGUGGGCACUCUGGGGAGACUGCCGGCGACAAACCGGAGGAAGGUGGGGACGACGUCAAGUCAUCAUGGCCCUUACGGCCAGGGCUACACACGUGCUACAAUGGUGCAUACAGACGGUUGCCAAGCCGCAAGGUGGAGCUAAUCUGAGAAAGUGCAUCGUAGUCCGGAUUGGGGUCUGCAACUCGACCCCAUGAAGUCGGAAUCGCUAGUAAUCGCGAAUCAGAAUGUCACGGUGAAUACGUUCCCGGGCCUU
rnacentral:rRNA from 1 species